rnacentral:rRNA from 1 species
UACGUAGGGUGCGAGCGUUGUCCGGAAUUAUUGGGCGUAAAGGGCUCGUAGGCGGUCUGUCACGUCGGGAGUGAAAACUCAGGGCUUAACCCUGAGCCUGCUUCCGAUACGGGCAGACUAGAGGUAUGCAGGGGAGAAUGGAAUUCCUGGUGUAGCGGUGAAAUGCGCAGAUAUCAGGAGGAACACCAGUGGCGAAGGCGGUUCUCUGGGCAUUACCUGACGCUGAGGAGCGAAAGCGUGGGGAGCGAACAGG